AUUUAUAUAGUUUAAUAAAAACCUUACAUUUUCAUUGUAAAAAUAAAAAAAUAUUUUUUAUAAAUA
rnacentral:tRNA from 1 species